CCUACGGGAGGCAGCAGUGAGGAAUAUUGGUCAAUGGACGAGAGUCUGAACCAGCCAAGUAGCGUGAAGGAUGACUGCCCUAUGGGUUGUAAACUUCUUUUAUAAAGGAAUAAAACGAGGCACGUGUGCCUUUUUGCAUGUACUUUAUGAAUGAGGAUCGGCUAACUCCGUGCCAGCCGCCGCGGUAAUACGGAGGAUCCGAGCGUUAUCCGGAUUUAUUGGGUUUAAAGGGAGCGUAGAUGGGUUGUUAAGUCAGUUGUGAAAGUUUGCGGCUCAACCGUAAAAUUGCAAUUGAUACUGGCAGUCUUGAGUACAGUUGAGGUAGGCGGAAUUCGUGGUGUAGCGGUGAAAUGCUUAGAUAUCACGAAGAACCCCGAUUGCGAAGGCAGCUUACUAAACUGUGACUAACAUUGAUGCUCGAAAGUGUGGGUAUCAAACAGGAUUAGAUACCCGGGUAGUC
rnacentral:rRNA from 1 species